rnacentral:rRNA from 1 species
UGCAGUCGACGCUGAAGCUUGGUGCUUGCACUGGGUGGAUGAGUGGCGAACGGGUGAGUAAUACGUGAGUAACCUGCCCUUGACUCUGGGAUAAGCCUGGGAAACUGGGUCUAAUACUGGAUACGACAUGUCACCGCAUGGUGGUGUGUGGAAAGGGUUUUACUGGUUUUGGAUGGGCUCACGGCCUAUCAGCUUGUUGGUGGGGUAAUGGCUCACCAAGGCGACGACGGGUAGCCGGCCUGAGAGGGUGACCGGCCACACUGGGACUGAGACACGGCCCAGACUCCUACGGGAGGCAGCAGUGGGGAAUAUUGCACAAUGGGCGAAAGCCUGAUGCAGCGACGCCGCGUGAGGGAUGACGGCCUUCGGGUUGUAAACCUCUUUCAGCACGGAAGAAGCGAAAGUGACGGUACGUGCAGAAGAAGCGCCGGCUAACUACGUGCCAGCAGCCGCGGUAAUACGUAGGGCGCAAGCGUUGUCCGGAAUUAUUGGGCGUAAAGAGCUCGUAGGCGGUUUGUCGCGUCUGCUGUGAAAGCCCGGGGCUUAACCCCGGGUGUGCAGUGGGUACGGGCAGACUUGAGUGCAGUAGGGGAGACUGGAAUUCCUGGUGUAGCGGUGAAAUGCGCAGAUAUCAGGAGGAACACCGAUGGCGAAGGCAGGUCUCUGGGCUGUUACUGACGCUGAGGAGCGAAAGCAUGGGGAG